rnacentral:tRNA from 1 species
GGGUGGUUAGCUCAAUGGUAGAGCGUUCCUUUUACACAGGAAAGGUUAGCGGUUCAAACCCGUUACUGCCUA